GACACAGGGGAGCGACAGGGAGAGAGGGAGAGGGAGAGCGAGAGCGAGAGAGCGAGAGAGAGUUCUGGAAGUUCUUGAUUGACGAUCUUCUCUUCACAAGCUAAAUAGAUCGAAGGAAUCAUAGUCUUGUUUGGCAUUGUUCCCGAUGGACCCGUUUUUGGAGAUUCUUUGUUGACGAUCUUGGUGGCCUUUGGAGACAUGCGAUACCUAUGGUUCUUUCCAGUUGCAUGUGGAAGAAUGAGGGUUUCCAGAUCAGAUUUCAAGCAAGGAAAUCAUAAUCCCUAUCCGCAAACACAAGGCAUUCUCCUCAUGCAGAUAGUAGCGAAGUGAGGCCACCGUUUCUUUUUCAUCGUAGUGCAGCGAUGGCUGAUGCGUCAGGUAUAAUCCCCAACUUUUCAUUCUUGCUAUGGUAGUCGGUGUAGUUGGGCGGUGCAGUGAGGUAUCGUCUCUCCUUUUCUGGUCGUUCUUUUUCGAUUUUUGCUUUUUUGUAGUAAUCGUAUUUGUUUUAGCGAAAUUUUCUGUGGAUUCGUUAGCUGCCUUUCUUCAAUUGCUCAUUGCUGUUAUGAAAUUGGUUUGAACAAACGUGAUGGCAGAGGACACACUCACUCAAUAAGAGAGGCACAAAUUACGUGGUUCGGCAUAUGACUGCCUACAUCCACGGAAGAAAGGGAAAUCUAUUUUCAUUCACCAUCGUUCCUUGAGAGUACACCACGAUUAAAUAGAGAAGGGAGGAAAAACAGAGAUCACGCCAGAUUUGCCCCAAAAAAUUUUGGGGUCAGUCUUUAACCGGAUAUGCAUAUCCCAAUGGCUCCUCAACAGCUCAUGCUAGAUAACGACACAUUCUACAAAUAGGAGACCUUCCAAGAAAAUCAGCAUAUAUCUCAAGAAGAUGAGAUAAUCGUUAUGUCAAGGAGACAAGAUUAACGCAUCUCUCAUAACAAUCGCUUGGUUUUUCACGACAAAUUUCAAGCAAUAUUAGCCAUUGUCUUGUUGAGAUUUUGCCUUUUUACGCAUCGUUUUCUCAAUCUCAGGUUUCUCUUUUAUCUCUUGUUCAGCUAGGCCGUGAGAUUGGCCAACUUUCACCCUCUUCGGUUAUUCUCUUGAUGCUGUUUUACAGAAAUCAGGGAGGAUCUAUGGAAGAGACAUGUAUUUCCUGUUUUUUUCCAGUUAUCUCCCUGAGAGUUAGGGUUCUGAAAACUUCCUAUAAUGUUGGUUUGUUAAUGGGAUUCGUUCUUGUCCUUUUUCAUGUUCAUUCUCAACGAAUGCCAGCCUAUUUCUCUUUCUUCUUUGUUUGGCGUAGUCUGUGAAAUUCGACAGUAGGGAACUUCAAUUUAUUUCUUUGUUAUUCUCAUGUCACUAAAAUUGCUACAACCCUAUGAAAGAAGUUGGUCAUCUACGUUAAAGCAUAUACUUAUGUGAGAAUCAGGGGAAAAGAAACAAGUUCCACUCAACGUUGGCCAUUCUCUUUAUAUUAUAUUCCUUUUUGUUUUUUCAUGCAGCUAAAUUUUUCAAUAAUAGAUAAUGGAUCGAUGUACACUGGUCUUUUUUUGUUACUUGUAUCUAUUGUAUACUUUCCACUUGAUUCCUCGAACCUGAACCUCAAGCACACUUCCGCAAAAUCAUCAUAGGAAGGUCAAAAUUUGACCCAAUUUCAUCUUCAAAAAUUUCAUUGAAUUUUAAAAUUAGAAUUUCAAGAAGAACUUGUGAUUCAAAUUUGAAAAUUUUGAUAGAAGAUCUUUCAAUGACAAUGUGAAACUUGAUGACAGAUUUUCACCUUUUGAAUUCAACUAGUAUAUAACUUGAGCAUCAAUGUUCUUAGCAUGUUGGAGUUAAGUUUUGUGCUUGCGUCUUAGAACUCAACAUUGAAGGUUGGACUUAAAAUUUUUUUUUUACGAACUUGAAAUUUUGAUUCAAAUCCAAUUAUCAAUUUUUGGGUCCUACUUUAAAUAUAAAACUGAUAAUGAGCUUCAAUCAGUCCUAACAUCUUUCAAAAUUUCAUACUUCCAAUUUAUGAAUUGCAUAUUUUAAAUUUUAAUUGGAUUUCACCUUUUUUGAUUAAAGUUCGUGGGCAUAUUUCAAUGUUAAGUUUUAACUUUCAUGUUCUGUAUUUAUUUUAUGUUUUAAUUUAGUUGUCCAUUUAAAAAUUUAAAUUUCAAAUUUCACUUGUAUGUUCCAGGUUUUGUUGUAGCAAUUUAUCGUUCUUCAAAUAUUUUUUCUAAAUUUUGAUUUUUUAGUCAUAAUUUUACAUUCUUCAAUCAUAUUUAUGGGUUUGAUCCUUCAAGAUUUUGGUUUCAUUAAUGGACUUGAUAUCAAAUGACUUGUUAGAAUUGAAGUACUUAUUUUGAUUUUAAUCAGUUCAGCCCAACAUUUCAAUCCCAAGAUUUUGAUAUUACGCAUGAAAUUAGAUUUGUUGACCAAAUUUUGAGCUCCGCUUCGUGAUUUCCGAGCAUCACAUAUUUAUUUCAUGUUUGAAUUUAAUCCAUUCAAAAUUUAUGUGUUUUGAAUUUCAGAUUAUUUUACUAAUUCAUAAUUGAAAAUUUUUAAGUUUUGAAUUUGUACAUUUUAUGUGCAAAUUCCAAUUGUGAAGUUUGAAGUUUAAUUUCAAGUUUGAAUUUGUCUUUAUAUUGCAAUUAUAACACUUCAGUUGAAGUAUAACCCUUUCCAAAUUUUGUCCUCAAAUUCAAUUUAAAUUUGUUGGUGUUCUUCUUGUUUUCAAUUGUUUAAACUUGCAUGUUUUUGAAGUUCACUUUAUACAAUUUUUUUUUUUGUUUCAAUUCUUAAUUUUGUUCCAAGUUUCAAGACGUUGAAUUUGAAAUACUUGUAAGUUUGCCUUGAAAUUUAGAUAUUUGAAACUUAAGGACUUUCAAGAAUUUAAAGUUCACACUGUUUUACAUUUUUUUCCCUUUUAAGGUUUGAACAUCAACUUCAACUUCAACAUUAGAUUUAAUAAUAAAAUCCUAGGCAUGAUCAGUACAUGUUUCAUGUGAAGUAACUUUACCGAUGUAGAACUCAAAAAAUUUAUAUGGUUCAGUUCCAAAAUGAAGUCUAUGUCCAGCUGAAGGUUUUCUAUUUUAUCUCUUUUCCACUAAAUUAUUCAAUACAAUUUGCGCAUUAGACCAUCAUCAUCAUUUUCAAUUCUUUUCCUGAUGAAGAGCUGCCAUGUCGAUUCUCAUGUCUGUAUUUUUGGUUUUUGUCCAAAAUGAGUGAUAAGUAUUCUAUAGUACAAAAAGUUUGUCAUCGGACCUUUUCUGUUUUCAUCAGGUCACUCUCAUAUCUUUGGACUUUGAUUCCUUCUUCAGCAUGAUUGCUUCUGGUGAUUAACACAUUAUUACCGCUACCGAUGUGAACAUUAUCAUCUUUAGCACGAGAGGAGGAUGAGUACCACUAGUAUUUUUGACACUCUAGAACAUGACCAUUGUGUUCGAUAACUUAUUUCAUGCCUCCAUAGAAUCGUCUCAUGAUUGAACUUGUUGUCCUAGUUAAUUAUUAAGAACGCACAAAUCAAUUUUAAUCAUAGUCAAAUUUCGUUCCUCAACCAUUAGUGCAUAUAAAAUUAUUAUGAAGGGCAGUGGAAAGUGAUAAAUUGUUCAAACCAGCUACAUGAUUGGCUAUUAAGACUCUUGUCUUAUUGCCAGCAAAUUUCAUGCAAUUAUAAUAGCAUAUAAUUGUAAUUGGAGCAGACACCGGCCUCAAAUGGUACACCAGAUUCAACAAUUUUUUUUCAUCAAAAGAUACAAAAGUUGAACUCCUAUCUGUACAACUUAAAUCUUGUGCUUGUACCAACAAAUCUGCAUGAGUCCAGAUUAUUUACUAUUUAUUAGCACCAUUUAAUCAUUUUUUUAAUAGUGAACUCCUAUCUCCAGACAUCUACGAUUCACCAUUGUUCUCACCCUGGGACUUGGGAGCAUCGAGCCAGAGCCAUAACUCUAAAGCAGUAGCAUGGUGAAAACCUAGAUAUUGUUGCUUCAAUAACCUGUACUGUUUGAUUGAUCUUGUGUUCAAGAGUAGAUCUAGCUGCAAUCACAACACGUCCUGCACUGAUGAAUUUCAAAACAGUUUCCAUAAGUUUGAAAAUCGAGCCAGAGCCAUAACUCUAAAGCAGUAGCAUGGUGAAAACCUAGAUAUUGUUGCUUCAAUAACCUGUACUGUUUGAUUGAUCUUGUGUUCAAGAGUAGAUCUAGCUGCAAUCACAACACGUCCUGCACUGAUGAAUUUCAAAACAGUUUCCAUAAGUUUUCCUUUUCAAUUACAAUUGGGGCACUGUUUUACAUUGUGAGCAUGGAAAAUGAAAAUCUACCAAGCCUGCAUUUUAGGAAUUCUACUCGGCUCUUUACUUACUGGCAGUGGUUUAAGCUACUUGAGUUGGAGAUCGAGCUUCUACAGUCACAGGUGGUGUUUUGUCAGUCUAGUUUUAGUUCCAAUUGCUUGGAAAAUUCCAUCUUGUUACUUUGACCGAGUUUGUCAGGUGCUGCUUUGUAAUAACUUGGAACAGAUAGUGAGUGGGUGGCUUCAUGGUAAUGAGCUAUCAUGAUUCUUUUGUCUGCAAUAUCCUUAAGCUGGCUUUGUUAGGAGUGAGCUUUGAAGCUGUUAACAAAUAUUCUACUGUUUGGUUGCCGCUUUGAAUAUGAAAAUGACUUUCCUUAAUGUGCUUUAUUAAUCCAA